rnacentral:rRNA from 1 species
GACGAACGCUGGCGGCGUGCUUAACACAUGCAAGUCGAACGGAAAGGCCCUGCUUUUGUGGGGUGCUCGAGUGGCGAACGGGUGAGUAACAAGUGAGUAACCUGCCCUUGACUUUGGGAUAACUUCAGGAAACUGGGGCUAAUACCGGAUAGGAGCUCCUGCUGCAUGGUGGGGGUUGGAAAGUUUCGGCGGUUGGGGAUGGACUCGCGGCUUAUCAGCUUGUUGGUGGGGUAGUGGCUUACCAAGGCUUUGACGGGUAGCCGGCCUGGGAGGGUGACCGGCCACAAUGGGACUGCGGUACGGCCCAGACUCCUACGGGAGGCAGCAGUGGGGAAUAUUGCACAAUGGGCGGGAGCCUGAUGCAGCAACGCCGCGUGCGGGAUGACGGCCUUCGGGUUGUAAACCGCUUUCGCCUGUGACGAAGCGUGAGUGACGGUAAUGGGUAAAGAAGCACCGGCUAACUACGUG